CCUACGGGAGGCAGCAGUGGGGAAUAUUGGACAAUGGGCGAAAGCCUGAUCCAGCAAUGCCGCGUGAGUGAUGAAGGCCUUCGGGUCGUAAAGCUCUUUUACCAGGGAUGAUAAUGACAGUACCUGGAGAAUAAGCUCCGGCUAACUCCGUGCCAGCAGCCGCGGUAAUACGGAGGGAGCUAGCGUUGUUCGGAAUUACUGGGCGUAAAGAGUACGUAGGCGGUUAUUCAAGUCAGAGGUGAAAGCCCGGGGCUCAACCCCGGAACUGCCUUUGAAACUAGAUAACUAGAGUCUUGGAGAGGUUAGUGGAAUUCCGAGUGUAGAGGUGAAAUUCGUAGAUAUUCGGAAGAACACCAGUGGCGAAGGCGACUAACUGGACAAGUACUGACGCUGAGGUACGAAAGCGUGGGGAGCAAACAGGAUUAGAUACCCUGGUAGUCCACGCCGUAAACGAUGAUAACUAGUUGUUCGGUCACUUGGUGACUGAGUGACGCAGCUAACGCAUUAAGUUAUCCGCCUGGGGAGUACGGUCGCAAGAUUAAAACUUAAAUGAAUUGACGGNUGAGAGNGCGAGCGACACGAGGAGAG
rnacentral:rRNA from 1 species